CGACGGCGACGGCGACGACGGCGGCGUGCGAGCGGGAGUGGACGACCAUGGCUGCAGCUCCUUCUUCUCUGCAAUUUUCUGGUCUUCGCACAAUGAAGAUGGAGGAGAAGCCAACGGGAGAGAGGAAGAAGAGAGAAUGAGGAGAGAGAGAGAUGGGACCAUUUUUCUUUUCUUUUUCUUUUUCUUUAAUCCCACAAAAUGGCCCACCAUGACAUCAUCAUGAUGUCAUGCUCCACUCACCCAAAACUCCCACAACCUUAUUCCAAUGGGUUCAAAUUUCAUUUUCCGCCGGGGUCCAAUUCUUGUACACUAAUUUCUCCAAUUCCAUUCAAUCCUCUUCCAAUUGAGUCCAAUUGAAGUCCAUAAAAUUAAUCCAAUGUCACCACACUUCAAUUCACAUACUCACUUGACCAUAAAACCAACUUAAGUCCCAAAAGUACG
rnacentral:lncRNA from 1 species